UACGAAGGGGCUAGCGUUGUUCGGAAUCACUGGGCGUAAAGCGCACGCAGGCGGAUCGUUAAGUCAGGGGUGAAAUGCCGAGGCUCAACCUCGGAACUGCCUUGAUACGUGCGAUCUUAGAGUCCGGGAGAGGUGAGUGGAACUCCGAGUGUAGAGGUGAAAUUCGUAGAUAUUCGGAAGAACACCAGUGGCGAAGGCGGCUCACUGGCCCGGUACUGACGCUCAGGUGCGAAAGCGUGGGAGCAACAGG
rnacentral:rRNA from 1 species